UACCCCCCACCCCGUCCCGAUUUUUCACAUUUGCUGUCUGGUCCCCCGAGGCUCAGCUCAGCACUGCUGAUGUAAAAAUGCUUUUCUAGUUCUGUGGAGACAAAAGUUCCUGUGCUAAGACUGUCGUCCCCGACACAUUGUGGCACAGUAACAUAAUGCUGGGCGUAUUGCUAAACAAUCACACAGGCCUUCAAGCAGUCUAGCUGCACGUUUGCUUAACAGAUUUCAGUUGAACAGUUUCGCCUGUCCUCUUCUCCUCUGCACAGGCGCUUACUUGUCAGAGGAAGGUGGCAGCUUGAUAAGGAACAUGAUAAUUAGGAACGUGCCAGAAAUCAGGUAUUAAUAGAAGCACUAUUAGAGAGUUUAUGGAUAAUUUAAGAUGCAGCACAUUCUUUCAGUGAGUGCCUUGUCUGUUUAAGAGCAGUAAUUGCCUAUUACUUUGCAGCUUCUGAUGUGCUUGGCUGCAUGACACAUGAAGAUACAGCAUAUAUUUAAAGAACUAACACUAGUUCAAAGUACCUGCUUGCAAUUUUAAACGCAAGAAUCCAAUACACUUCUAAUGGCAGCAAGGAGAUUGGAAAAAGAAAAGAAAAGGAAAAAAGCACAUACAAAACAGCAAAUCAACAACAGCCAGGCUGAGAGUGCUUAGAAAACCCACUGUAAAUUGUGAGGUGAUGGUGAAGCCAGUACAAGUGUCUGUGUCUCUGUUUAGAAUCAGUGGGCUAUCACGCUCUCCAUCGAUCUUCCUCAGCAUGGAUCAUUCCAAGUAAACACAGGAGGACAGCAAGUGCAAUAAAAAGGUGGAACAAUGUUAAUGUUUGCAGAUCCUGUUUCUCAAGAGGAAGGUUUAACUCUUUCUGCACACAGCCACAUUUCAGCCACCUUGCUGUCCCUGUACUUCCUUGUCAUGGCUGGAACUGGAAGCAGGUGGUACUGUGACAACAUAAGAAAACCCAGACUCAGGGUAAUUUCCUCCCACCUGACGGGAAGCUGGGCAUUUCAGAUGUCUCACAAGAAAGCAUAUGGACAUCAGGCUUCCAAUCUGAAUUUGCAAGCCCAGGUAGUUGGGAAAAGGCUUGGAGAAACAUCCAAACUCUCACAUGUUUGUGCGAACUAAAUAUCUAACCAUCUGAGGUCUCCCCUGUGGUGUAUUUAGUCGUGCAACUGUGAUGCCUUUGGUUUCUGUAUUCUGCACCUUUAAAUCUGCAAGGGCUCAGCCGUCUGCAGAGACGGGCAGCCAUUUUGUGUUCAAAUGACUGUAAGUUGUCAGAGGAGCCAUAAACACUGUCU